rnacentral:rRNA from 1 species
UACAGAGGGUGCAAGCGUUAAUCGGAUUUACUGGGCGUAAAGCGUGCGUAGGCGGUUCGCUAAGUCGGUUGUGAAAUCCCUGGGCUUAACCUGGGAACUGCAGUCGAUACUGGCGGACUAGAGUACGGUAGAGGGUGGCGGAACUCCGGGUGUAGCGGUGAAAUGCGUAGAUAUCCGGAAGAACACCGAUGGCGAAGGCAACCACCUGGGCCUGUACUGACGCUGAGGUACGAAAGCAUGGGGAGCGAACAGG